rnacentral:tRNA from 1 species
GAACUAAGAGAUUCAAAGAAAAGCUUCUAACUUUAUCUUUAAGUGGUGUAACUCCAUUUUUAGUUUU